rnacentral:lncRNA from 1 species
UUUUGGUAGAGAAAGGUGUUUUGGUUUUGAUUUAGGUUUGGAGAAGAGGGGGGUUGAAUGAUUUUUUUUCUGAAUUUUUGGGGGCUAGAAAGCAUGAAAAAUGAGGGGGAAUAGUGCAUCUAUUUAUAGGGAAAUUUUUGAUUUAGGUUUGGAGAAGAGGGGGGUUGAAUGAUUUUUUUUCUGAAUUUUUGGGGGCUAGAAAGCAUGAAAAAUGAGGGGGAAUAGUGCAUCUAUUUAUAGGGAAAGCAAGUGGGUAAGUGGGGGGAACCAAAUGCCCUUUGUGCAAAAAAAAUGCUUAUUUUUGGUGUCUGUGCAGUGGAAAUCGAUCUACCUAAUUGGGUAAAUCGAUUUCCCUGUUUUUUUUUUAAAUUCAUGCCUUGAGCCCAUGCAAUAUGCCUUUGGUUAUGAAUGCUAAUGCAAUUAUGGUGAUGAAGCAAUGAAUAAAUGUAUGUGUAAUAGGAUCAUAGAUCUGAUGAAAGUUGUUUGGGGUAGGGUGAAUUUUGGGGUAUGACAGUUGCCCCUAUUUAAUUUUCU